ACUGUACAGUAGAGUUUGAUCCAGUGCUCAGGACGAACGCUGGCGGCGUGGAUUAGGCAUGCAAGUCGAGCGACGGUAUUCCUUCGGGAGUAUACGGAGCGGCGAACGGGUGAGUAACGCGUGAACAACCUGUCCCUUUGUUCCGGAUAAUUGGGAGAAAUCCCUUGUAAUACGGGCGAGGACGGUCCUUUGGCAUCUUAGGAUCGGGAAACACGAAAGUGGCAUGGGGAGGGGUUCGCGAUCUAUCAGGUAGUUGGUGUGGUAACGGCACACCAAGCCAACGACGGGUAGCUGGUCUGAGAGGAUGGUCAGCCACAUUGGAACUGAGACACUGUCCAGACUCCUACGGGAGGCUGCAGUCGAGAAUCUUGGGCAAUGCACGAAAGUGUGACCCAGCGACGC
rnacentral:rRNA from 1 species